rnacentral:rRNA from 1 species
CCUACGGGUGGCUGCAGUCGAGAAUCAUUCACAAUGGUGGAAACCCUGAUGCAGCGACGCCGCGUGAGCGAUGAAGUAUUUCGGUAUGUAAAGCUCUAUCAGCAGGGAAGAAAAUGACGGUACCUGACUAAGAAGCCACGGCUAACUACGUGCCAGCAGCCGCGGUAAUACGUAGGGGGCAAGCGUUAUCCGGAUUUACUGGGUGUAAAGGGAGCGUAGACGGCUUGGCAAGCCAGAUGGGAAAGUCUGGGGCUCAACCUCAGGACUGCAUUUAGAACUGUCAUGCUAGAGUGUCGGAGAGGCAGGUGGAAUGCCUAGUGUAGCGGUGAAAUGCGUAGAUAUUAGGAGGAACACCAGUGGCGAAGGCGGCCUGCUGGACGAUGACUGACGUUGAGGCUCGAAAGCGUGGGGAGCAAACAGGAUUAGAUACCCUUGUAGUC